UUUUUUAUUGUCUCUUUUUACAAUUUUGCAAUAUCAUCUUCCACAGAGGAAAGAGGAAGACGAAAGGUAAUCCUCAGGCCCACUAGCAUGGCUGGUUUUUAAAAGUGUGCUUUGCUUUACAGAAAUGUACUGAUGACUGGUUACAUCAUCCACAUGGUAAAGCCUGUUGUGAAAUUUGGAGGACGCUUGCUCAGGCUUCUCUCCUCUGCAGGCUGGCCAGGUUGAGGGGCUGCCUUUUUUCCCCAGGUGCUGAUCCAAGCCUCCCUCUGGAAUAAGCUGUAUCCACCGGCUUCUCGUGAGGCUGGUGUGAGGGUCCCGCAUUCUCGAUGUCGUUGAUGUCGGCAUUUCCUGUUAAAUCAGCAAGAUCUUUCCUCCUCUUCCAGAAGUUCCUGCGAGUCACUCCUCUGUGUUAAUUGCCAUGGGUGUUGCUGGAAGCUGUUUCUACCCCAGGACGUCUGGAAGGAAGUGGCCGGGAAGGGCAUGGUGGAGGCCGCUGACCCGCUGACGUCUCCACAGCCAAACGUCCCCCUGCCGGGCCCCAAAGUGCCCACUGCCUCUCCAGUGCCAGCCCAGCAAGAGAGGAAGCGGAGGCGGGGAAAAAAUAACGGGUGCCUCACGGCGGGUUUUCACAAUCUCGAGGCUGCCAUCACCCCUUAGGCCGCACACCCUGAGACCCAGCAGGGUCUCAACCAGCGACUCCCCAGUCAGCAACCGGCCAGCGUGCGUCACGUCACGCAGACACGGCCUCUGCUCCACUCAGGGCCCGUUUCAGCCACCUGGAAGCCGCAGUUCACCGCCACCUCCAAGGACACAGCCCACCUUUUCCAGGCUGCGCCGGGACCUCCACUGACCAGGCCUUCUUCAGAGGCGCGGGCCCACGUGCAUGGAGAGCACCCUCCUACUGACACGCAGUCCAGUAUCUUUUCG
rnacentral:lncRNA from 1 species